CCUACGGGACGCAGCAGUGGGGAAUAUUGCACAAUGGGGGAAACCCUGAUGCAGCGACGCCGCGUGAAGGAAGAAGUAUUUCGGUAUGUAAACUUCUAUCAGCAGGGAAGAAAAUGACGGUACCUGACUAAGAAGCCCCGGCUAACUACGUGCCAGCAGCCGCGGUAAUACGUAGGGGGCAAGCGUUAUCCGGAUUUACUGGGUGUAAAGGGUGCGUAGACGGGACAGCAAGUUAGUUGUGAAAGCCCUCGGCUUAACUGAGGAACUGCAACUAAAACUAUUGUUCUUGAGUGCAGGAGAGGAAA
rnacentral:rRNA from 1 species